GACGAACGCUGGCGGCGUGCCUAAUACAUGCAAGUCGAACGAACAGCGACUUGAACUUGUUCAAGUCAAUGUUAGUGGCGCACGGGUGAGUAACACGUGGAGAACCUACCCUUAAGCGGGGGAUAACCAUUGGAAACGAUGACUAAUACCGCAUAGAAUCACAGAUCACAUGAUCAAUGAAGGAAAGACGGCUUCGGCUGUCACUUAAGGAUGGCUCCGCGGUGCAUUAGCUAGAUGGUGGGGUAAAGGCCUACCAUGGCAAUGAUGCAUAGCCGACCUGAGAGGGUGAUCGGCCACAUUGGGACUGAGACACGGCCCAAACUCCUACGGGAGGCAGCAGUAGGGAAUCUUCCGCAAUGGACGCAAGUCUGACGGAGCAACGCCGCGUGUGUGAAGAAGGUCUUCGGAUCGUAAAGCACUGUUGUUAGAGAAGAACGACCGGUAGAGUAACUGUUACCGGAGUGACGGUAUCUAACCAGAAAGCCACGGCUAACUACGUG
rnacentral:rRNA from 1 species